AACACGUAAAGAACCUGCCCUCAGGUCUGGGAUAACCACGAGAAAUCGGGGCUAAUACCGGAUGGGUCAUCGGACCGCAUGGUCCGAGGAUGAAAGGCGCUUCGGCGUCGCCUGGGGAUGGCUUUGCGGUGCAUUAGCUAGUUGGUGGGGUAAUGGCCCACCAAGGCGACGAUGCAUAGCCGACCUGAGAGGGUGAUCGGCCCCACUGGGACUGAGACGCGGCCCAGACUCCUACGGGAGGCAGCAGUAGGGAAUCUUCCACAAUGGACGAAAGUCUGAUGGAGCAACGCCGCGUGAACGAUGAAGGCCUUCGGGUCGUAAAGUUCUGUUGUAAGGGAAGAACAAGUGCCGCAGGCAAUGGCGGCACCUUGACGGUACCUUGCGAGAAAGCCACGGCUAACUACGUGCCAGCAGCCGCGGUAAUACGUAGGUGGCAAGCGUUGUCCGGAAUUAUUGGGCGUAAAGCGCGCGCAGGCGGCCUCUUAAGUCUGAUGUGAAAGCCCCCGGCUCAACCGGGGAGGGCCAUUGGAAACUGGGAGGCUUGAGUAUAGGAGAGAAGAGUGGAAUUCCACGUGUAGCGGUGAAUGCGUAGAGAUGUGGAGG
rnacentral:rRNA from 1 species